GCGGCCGUAACUAUAACGGUCCUAAGGUAGCGAAAUUCCUUGUCGGGUAAGUUCCGACCUGCACGAAUGGCGUAAUGAUGGCCAGGCUGUCUCCACCCGAGACUCAGUGAAAUUGAACUCGCUGUGAAGAUGCAGUGUACCCGCGGCAAGACGGAAAGACCCCGUGAACCUUUACUAUAGCUUGACACUGAACAUUGAGCCUUGAUGUGUAGGAUAGGUGGGAGGCUUUGAAGCGUGGACGCCAGUCUGCGUGGAGCCGACCUUGAAAUACCACCCUUUAAUGUUUGAUGUUCUAACGUGGACCCGUAAUCCGGGUUGCGGACAGUGUCUGGUGGGUAGUUUGACUGGGGCGGUCUCCUCCUAAAGAGUAACGGAGGAGCACGAAGGUUGGCUAAUCCUGGUCGGACAUCAGGAGGUUAGUGCAAUGGCAUAAGCCAGCUUGACUGCGAGCGUGACGGCGCGAGCAGGUGCGAAAGCAGGUCAUAGUGAUCCGGUGGUUCUGAAUGGAAGGGCCAUCGCUCAACGGAUAAAAGGUACUCCGGGGAUAACAGGCUGAUACCGCCCAAGAGUUCAUAUCGACGGCGGUGUUUGGCACCUCGAUGUCGGCUCAUCACAUCCUGGGGCUGAAGUAGGUCCCAAGGGUAUGGCUGUUCGCCAUUUAAAGUGGUACGCGAGCUGGGUUUAGAACGUCGUGAGACAGUUCGGUCCCUAUCUGCCGUGGGCGCUGGAAGAC
rnacentral:rRNA from 1 species